GCAGAUAGCUCAGUUGGUAGAGCAUGAGACUCUUAAUCUCAGGGUCCUGGGUUCGAAACCCACGUUAGGCG